CAAUAGCGUAUAUUAAAGUUGUUGCAGUUAAAAAGCUCGUAGUUGGAUUUCUGGCAGGAGCGACCGGUCACACACUCUGUGUGUGAACUUGCGUUGUCUCUGGCCAUCCUUGGGAAGAUCCUGUUUGGCAUUAAGUUGUCGGGCAGGGGAUACCCAUCGUUUACUGUGAAAAAAUUAGAGUGUUUAAAGCAGGCUUAUGCCGUUGAAUAUAUUAGCAUGGAAUAAUAAGAUAGGACUUCGGAACUAUUUUGUUGGUUUGCGUUACGAAGUAAUGAUUAAUAGGGACAGUUGGGGGUAUUCGUAUUUCGUUGUCAGAGGUGAAAUUCUUGGAUUUAUGAAAGACGAACUUCUGCGAAAGCAUUUGCCAAGGAUGUUUUCAUUAA
rnacentral:rRNA from 1 species